AAUGAACGUUGGCGGCGUGGAUUAGGCAUGCAAGUCGAGGGAGAACCCGCAAGGGGGACACCGGCGAACGGGGUAGGAUCAUCUCGGUGACGUACCCUCCGGACGGGGAUAGCCACGGGAAACUGUGGGUAAUACCCGAUGACCUGGCAGGCGAGUAGGGCUUGUCAGCAAAGGUGAGAUUCCACCGGAGGAGCGGCUGAGACGCUAUUAGCUUGUUGGUGAGGUAAUGGCUUACCAAGGCGACGAUGGCUAGGGGGUGUGAGAGCAUGGCCCCCACCACUGGCACUGAGACACUGGCCAGACACCUACGGGUGGCUGCAGUCGAGAAUCUUCGGCAAUGGGCGCAAGCCUGACCGAGCGACGCCGCGUGCGGGAUGAAGGUCUUCGGAUUGUAAACCGCUGUCGGAGGGGAUGAAGUGUAUGGGAGCUAUCUCCUGUAUUUGACAGAGCCUCGGAGGAAGCACGGGCUAAGUUCGUGCCAGCCGCCGCGGUAACAC
rnacentral:rRNA from 1 species